rnacentral:rRNA from 1 species
CGAGGGAAAGCUCGGUGCCGUCUUCGGGCGGUCCCCGGUGGCCCUCGCCUCGUUCUCGCGCUGGGCGGGGGGAGCGCACUUCCCCUCUAGUAGGACGCCGUGACCCGUUGGGUGUCCGCCUAAGGCCGGUGUGGUAGCCCGUAGCCCUCCGUGGCUGCGGACCCUCCGAGACCCGGCGGAACGCCCGACGGUG